AACGAACGCUGGCGGCAUGCCUAACACAUGCAAGUCGAACGAGACCUUCGGGUCUAGUGGCGCACGGGUGCGUAACGCGUGGGAACCUGCCCUUAGGUUCGGAAUAACUCCCCGAAAGGGGUGCUAAUACCGGAUAAUGUCUUCGGACCAAAGAUUUAUCGCCGUUGGAUGGGCCCGCGUUGGAUUAGCUAGUUGGUAGGGUAAAAGCCUACCAAGGCGACGAUCCAUAGCUGGUCUGAGAGGAUGAUCAGCCACACUGGGACUGAGACACGGCCCAGACUCCUACGGGAGGCAGCAGUGGGGAAUAUUGGACAAUGGGCGAAAGCCUGAUCCAGCAAUGCCGCGUGAGUGAUGAAGGCCUUAGGGUUGUAAAGCUCUUUUAACCGGGAUGAUAAUGACAGUACCGGGAGAAUAAGCGCCGGCUAACUCCGUG
rnacentral:rRNA from 1 species